AACGAACGCUGGCGGCAUGCCUAACACAUGCAAGUCGAACGAGACCUUCGGGUCUAGUGGCGCACGGGUGCGUAACGCGUGGGAACCUGCCCUUAGGUUCGGAAUAACUCCCCGAAAGGGGUGCUAAUACCGGAUAAUGUCUUUGGACCAAAGAUUUAUCGCCUUUGGAUGGGCCCGCGUUGGAUUAGCUAGUUGGUAGGGUAAAAGCCUACCAAGGCGACGAUCCAUAGCUGGUCUGAGAGGAUGAUCAGCCACACUGGGACUGAGACACGGCCCAGACUCCUACGGGAGGCAGCAGUGGGGAAUAUUGGACAAUGGGCGAAAGCCUGAUCCAGCAAUGCCGCGUGAGUGAUGAAGGCCUUAGGGUUGUAAAGCUCUUUUACCCGGGAUGAUAAUGACAGUACCGGGAGAAUAAGCUCCGGCUAACUCCGUG
rnacentral:rRNA from 1 species